rnacentral:lncRNA from 1 species
GGCUGUCACGGUCGCUGCCCACCCGGGUUCUUCGCUGCUUCUAGUUCCGGGCGCUUUGCCGGGCGUUAAUGGCGGCCAACAUCGCCGGUGCUGCGGCUUUCUCCCUAAAGUGUCACAGGAGCUAAGGGCGCUGCUUAACGAACUGCAGAAGACGCAGGCAGGUGAAGGACACCGGUUCUGCUGCGGCAGUGGAAUGUGGCGGAGAAGCUGGCGGGUAGGGCGGGGAGCAAGCCUGGAGGUCCUGGCGGACCCCACCAUUCGACAGGGCUUGGUGUGUUAUUGCUUCUAGGCCUUUUCAGCGGACAGAACUGGGAUGGAUACACACAUGCUUAUUUGAAAUCAUGCGUUUGUUCCAUACUCCAAUGUCAGCCCACCCCUUCUUUGCCCAAGUUGCUCUAUGGUCAAGUGAGCGAGAGCAGGUGCCUGCAUUUCCAGCCUCGUGGCUCACCGCCUCCUUCCAGUAGUCCCAUGUUGCUUCACACCUCUUAAGUACAUGUACUUCUGUGAACCCAGAGCCUUGGCUUUGAAAUCAGACAACCCCAGUUUCAAACGUGGCGCUGCCACUCACGAGUUUUGUGAUUUUGGCAUACCCCUGUCUGCAUGGGGAUAAUAACUUCUAUCUCCAUAGGUGUGGUGAGGAUAAAAGUCUAUGCAUGGAGGAAAUGUUCAUUCAGUGGUAGCUAUUUCUAAUUCUGUUCUUCUGGACCUAUGAUUCUAUCUACGAUGCCUCAUUUUUUUUCCUUUUUAAUCAAUUGGCAAACUUGUGCUCUGAGACCCAGCUUGUUACAUCUCUGAUGACAGCUGAUAUCCUCAGGAUAUUCCGUACUUCCUUUCUCCCUAUUACUUUACUAUGAAUAUAUGAAUAACAUUGUGCUUAUUGCAUGCAACAAAUAUUUAUUAGAUGAAUGACAUUAAAAUUCACCUUUAAAAUGCCAUCCUUUAUGAGAGGUGAGAAAUAGAACUUUUCCUUCGACAUGGCUGUACAUGUUCAACAACUAGAAUAAAACAGUCAUCAUGAACCCUCAAUCCAGUAUUCUUUUUAUAAUAUAGCUGCCUGUCAGUUUUCACUGUUCUUUUAUUAGACCAGUGAUUUUCAAACCUUUUUAAAGGCAUACAGUGCUUUAUUCAAAUCUAAUCUUAUAUGGAACCCUCAACACAUAAAUAUUAAGAUAAAAAUAAAGCUGCCAUUGUUGCAAUUAGAAGUUUGAGAGGUUAGAAUAGGUAGGAAGUCUCGGAGGAACAUUUCUUCGUUUUACCUGCUUUAACAGUCAGAGAAGUACCUCAGCCAGCAGAAAAAUUUAUUUGUUCAUAAAUUCCUUGAGUAUAGAGUCCGUAUCUUAUUUUUGUGGCCUCCAAUGCUAGUGCUGUGCAGUUUUCUUGAAAGUGCAUUUUAUUGGUCUCAGCAAAUUGAACUCAAGCAUUUCUGUGUUCUUUUACUUUUCCUCUUUGUGGAAUUAAGGGGAUUGCUAAUUUGUAUUUUUAAAGAAAGAACAUUAUUCCGGGCGCGGUGGCUCACGCCUGUAAUCCCAGCACUUGGGGAGGCCAAGGAGGGCAAAUCACCUGAGAUCAGGAGUUCAAGACAAGGCUGACCAACAUGGCAAAACCCCGUCUCUACUAAAAAUACAAAAAUUAGCUGGGCGUGUUGGCACGCGCCUGUAAUCCCAGCCACUCAGGAAGCUGAGGCAGGAGAAUCGCUUGAACCCGGGAAGCAGAGGUUGCAGUGACAGAGAUCGUGCCACUGCACUCCAGCCUGGUGAGAGCAAGACUCUGUCUCAAAAAAAAAAAAAAAAAAUUGGCAAGUUUGGCCCUAAAAUUUAUAUGAAAUGAAAAGGAACCAGAAUAAAAGGAUUUCGAAACAGAAAAAGAUGGAGAACUUCCACUACCUGAAUUCAAAACUUAUUAUAAAGCUACAGUAAUGAAGACUGUAAUACUGGCAUAGAGGCAGAUAUAUCGAUCAAUGGAAUCAAAUAGUCCACAAAUAAACCUUUACAUUAUGGUCAGUUGAUUUUCAACAAUGGUGCUAAAACAAUCCAUGGGGAAAGGGUAAUCUUUUCAAUGAAUGAUGUGGGAGGGAAAAAAAAGAACUUUGAUUCUUACCUCACAUCACACAUAAAAAUUGAUUUAAGUGGAUCAUAGACCUAAAUAUAAAAGCUAAAACUAUAAAUUUCAGAAGAAAAAGAGGAAAAUCUUUUGAUAUUAAGUUAAGCAAAGUUUGCUUAGAUAUGACGCUAAAAUCGUGAUCUAUAAAAGAAAAAAUUGAUAGUUGACAUAAUAGAAAUUUAAAGCUUUUAGUUCAUGUAUUGAAACAAAAAAUCUAGACUGGGACAAUGGCUCACAUCUGUAAUCCCAGCACUUUGGGAGACCAAGGUGGGUGGAUCGCUUGAGCUCAGGAGUUCAAGACCAGCCUAGGCCAGAUGGUGAAACCCCAUCUCUACAAAAAAUACAAAAAUUAGCUGUGCAUAUAGUCCCAGCUACUUGGGAGGCAGAGGUGGGAAGAUGGUUUGAGCCCAGGAGGCAGAAUUUGCAGUGAGCUGAGAUUGCGCUACUACGCUACAGCCUGGGUGACAGCCAGACCCUAUCUAAAAAAAAAAAAAAAAAAAAAAGAAGAAGAAAACAAAAACAAAAAAUCUUGGUCUGUCUUAGGCAACAAGCAAUUAAAAAAAAAGUAGAAAAUAAAGCAAAAGGGCCGGGCGCAGUGGCUCACGCCUGUAAUUCCAGCACUUUGGGAGACUGAGGCGAGUGGAUCACCUGAGGUCAGGAGUUUGAGACCAGCCUCGCCAACAUGGUGAAACCCCAUCUCUACUAAAUACAAAAAUUAGCUGGGCGUGGUGGCGGGCACCUGCAAUCCCAGCUACUUGGGAGGCUGAGGCAGGAGAAUUGCUUAAAUCCAGGAGGCAAAGGUUGCAGUGAGCCAAAAUCAUGCCACUGCACUCCAGCCUGGGCAACAGAGCAUAACUCCAUCUCAAAAAAAAAAAAAAAAAAGAAAAAGAAAAAGAAAAGCCAUGAACUAGAAGAAAAUAUUUGAAUAGAUAUUUUACCAAAGAAGAUUUAUGAAUGGCAAAUAAGUACAUAAAAAGAUAUUCAUCAUCAUUAAUCAUUAGAGAAAUGCACAUUGAAAGCAUAAUAAGAUAACACUUAAUACCCACUAGAAUGGCUAUAAUCAGAAAAAUAGAAAACAAGUUUUGGCGGGGCUAGGUGGCUCACACCUGUAAUCCCAACACUUUGGGAAGCCAAGGCGAGUGGCUCACUUCAGGUCAGGAGUUUGAGACCAGCCUGACCCAACAUGGUGAAACCCCGUCUCUACUAAAAAAUACAAAAAUUAGCCGGGCGUGGUGGCAGGUGCCUGUAAUCCCUGCUACUUGGGAGGCUCAGGCAGGAGAAUCGCUUAAACCUGGGAGGCAGAGAUUGCAGUGAGCGGAGAUCGUGCCACUGCACUCCAGCCUGGGUGACAGCGAGACUCCGUCUCAAAAACAAACAAAACAAAAUAAAACAAAAAAAAAUGGAAAACAAGUUUGGCAAGAAUGUGGAGAAACAAACACUCCUACAUUCCUGGUGAGAAUGUAAAAUGGUACAGGCACUUUGGAAAGCAGUUUGACAGUUUUUUAAAAAAUUAAGCAUAAAUUGCCAUAUAACCCAGCAAUUUCACGCCUAGGUAUAUACCUAAAAGAAAUGAAAACAUAUGUCCAUGGACUCAUACCUACAUGUCCAUUGCAGAAUUACUCAUAAUAGGCAAAAAGUGGAAACUAUUCAAAUGUCUUAUCAGUUUGUGAAUGAGUAAACAAUAUGUAGUACAGCCAUACAAUAGAAUAUUUGGUGAUAAAAAUAAACCAAUACAUGCUGUAACAUGGAUGAAAGUAAAAAAACACUAUAGCAGAUAAAAAGACUGUGAUUUCAUAGGAAAAUCACAAAUAUAGAAAAAGCAAGAUUAUAGAUACAGAAAGCAGGUUAGUGAUUGCUGGGGCUGAAACUGGAAGCCAGGUUUGGCUGCAGAUGGGCAUGGGACAACUUUACGGAUUGAUGGAAUACUAAAACUAGAUUUUGGUAAUGGUUACACAACCAUAAAAAUUUACUAAAAAUAAACUGCACACUUGUAAUAGGUAAAUUUUGAGAUGUGUAAAUUUCAUGUUGUAACUCCAAUAAGGCUUUAAAAAAUUUAAGUUACCUGCCCAAAUGUACCUAUCAUGUAGCAGAAGCAGGAUUAGACACAGGUGUGCCUGUCCUCAAAGCCUGAGCUCUGUUUACCCAGAGUUUUGGAAACUCCAGAUCUAUCAUGAAAACCUAAGUCAUUCUUAACCCGAGUCAUCCUACUCAGGAAUGACUUUUUUAUUAUAAUUUUAUUGUUUUUUAUUUUAUUGUAUUUAAAAGAAAUAGAGAUUGUGGCUGGGCACGGUGGCUCAUGCCUGCAAUGCCAGCACUUGGGGAGGCCAAGGCAGGUGGAUCAGUGGAGGCCAGAAAUUCAAUACCAGUCUAGCCAACAUGGUGAAACCCCAUCUCUAUUAAAAAUACAAAAAUUAGCUGAUUGGCCUGGGAGGCAGAGGUUGUAGUGAGCUGAAAUCACCCCACAGCACUCCAGCCUGGGUGACAGAGUGAGACCCUGUCUCAAAAAAAAAAAAAAAAAAAGGAAAGAAAAAGAAAGAGGGAGAGCAAGAAAGAAAGAGAGAGAGAGAAAGAAAGAAAAGAAAAAAAAAGGAAAGAGGGAGGGGGAGAGAGAGAGAAAGAGAGAGGGAGAGAGAGAGAGAGAUUGGGUCUCGCUAUGUUAACCAGGUUGGUCCCCAACUCCUGGCCUCAAGUGAUCCUCAUCUCAUUGGGAUCCUCCCUCCCAAUCCCAACGUGUUAGGAUUACAGGUGUAAGCCACUGCACCUGGCCUAGGAAGGACUUUUUGGGAGGGAUUCUAUCAUCUCACUUGGAUCUGGGAAUACAGGUAUGAGCCACCAUGCCCAGCCUGAGAACAAUACAAUUAUUCUUUUCUAGCUAUUUUGAAAUAUAUGAUAAAAUAUUGUCAACUAUAAUUUCCCUAUUGUAUUUUCAAAUACUAGAACUUCUAUCUAACUGUAUUUUUUUGACAAUUAACUAAUUUCUCUUUGUCUUCGCCCUCCCCAGUUUCCCUUCCCAGACUCUGAUAACGACCAUUCUAUUCUCUAUCUCCAUGGUAUCUACUAUUUUACCUCCCAUAUAACAUGAAGCAUACUGAAGUAGAGACGGCAGGAUUUUCUCAUGCAUGGAAUAUGGGAUGUGAAUGAAAACAGAAGGAUCACUUGAUGGCUGCGGACCUGAGCAACUGGAGGGAUGGAGUUGCAAUUAGGUGAAGUGAGGAAUUCAGCAGGGGAAGCAAGUUUUGGGGCAGAAGAUUUUAUCAGGGAUAUUUUAGUAAUUAAAUAGUUAGAUUAGUGUCUUAAUCACAACUCCACAUCCUUACCUGAUUUGGAGCUUCUGUCAGUCUCCCAGCUCUGAGCUGCUUCAGGCUGGGAAGCCGACAGUCGGGGAGAAGUCAUGGAUAGCUUCUGGUCCUCUUUUCCCACUGUGGCUGUCCUCCUCUUCCCCGGCCCUCACUAUGUUGUCUCCAGCUCCUCUUCUGGGACAGGAAGGGACAGAAAGAUCUUACUGACAGGUACCCCAUGAAGGUACCCCCUAGGGGAUGGAGAUCCCAGGGCUUCCCCUCCUUGAGUCCCUCAGAGAUUCCUGGUAAUGCCUCUCAUCUGACUGCCAUUUUGACCGCUCCCUGUCAUCUUUCAGGCCACCUCUCUUUUGGGAUCCCAUGGUCUUUCUAGGGAAGGAUCCAAGAGGGACCCAGGAUCCACAUUUGGUCCAUAAGAACCACCCGUACUUUGCCCUGUCCUCAGAGGGCGUGUAGUCCACAUCUAACACAGCCCUCUCUACUCUGCCACCUCUGGCCACUUUGGCCUGGAGAAUGUUUUCAGAACUCAUCUCUGUACUACACAAACUCUAAGGACCUCAAGUCAGAUUCUCCAAGGAGUUCUCUUGAGGUCCUUUCUGUUGCCUACUUAAAGUGACCUGGCAACUAACCAAACACACAUACAAUUAACAGAAGACAUAUGGAUGGAUGGCCAUAGGAGCAUAAUAGUCAUAAUCUGGAAACAAUCCAAAUUUUAAUCAGUAAUAGAAAUGGAUAAAUAGUGGGCCUGGCACAGUGGCUCACAUCUGUAACCCUAGCACUUUGGGAGGCUGAGCUGGGAGAAUUGCUUGAGCCCAGAAGUUUAAGACCAGCCUGGGCAACAUGGCAAAACCCCAUCUCUAGCCAAAAAAACCCACAAAAAUUAGCCAGUUGUGAUGGUGCACACUUGUAGUCUCAGCUACUACUUGGGAGGCUUAGGUGGGAGGAUUGCUUGAGGCUGGUAGGUGGAGGUUGCAGUGAGCUGAGAUCCCACCACUGCCCUCCAGCCUGGGUGACACAGCAAGACCUCGUCUCAAAAAAAAAAAAAAAAAAGAAUGGAUAAAUAAUGGUAGCAUAUUUUUUAAUGCAAUUUUUUAAAAAAGAAUGAACUACUACCACAAUGUGGGUAAAUUUCACAGGCAUAUGUUAAGUCAAAGAAACAAAAUACAGGCAGGGCAUAGUGGCUCACGCCUGUAAUCCCAGCACUUUGGGAGGCUGAGGCGGGCGGAUCACAAGGUCAGGAGAUCAGGACCAUCCUGGCUAACACGGUGAAACCCCAUCUCUACUAAAAAUACAAAAAAUUAGCUGGGCAUGGUGGCAUGCGCCUGUAAUCCCAGCUACUUGGGAGGCUGAGGCAGGAGAAUCACUUGAACCCGGGAGGUGCAGGUUGUAGUCAGCUGAGAUUGCGCCACUGCACUCCAGCCUGGGCGACAGAGCGAGACUCCAUCUCAAAAAAAAAAAAAAAAAAAAAAAAGAAAAAGAAAAGAAACAAAAUACAAAAGAAUGCAUACAGUUUGAUUCCAUUUAUAUGACUUUCAACAACAGGCAAAACUAAUCUAUGCUGUUAGAAGUCAAGAUAGUAGGGUAAGUAGUGAGUGGACAAGAGGGAGGUUUUGGGGAGAUCUACUGGAAUAUGCUCUAACUUAAUCUGGGUGAUGAUUACAUUUGUUACGUAAUGGGCUUAUACAUUUCUACAGUUUCAUCUAGCUCUACAGUUGAGAUGUGUGCAUUUUAUUACAUAUAUGUUUACUAAGAAAGUGAAAAGACAAUUCACGGAGAAAUUUUUCUCCCUAUUAUUCAUACAUUGCAUUUUCAUCAUUUGAUAACAUGAGUUGGGGAUUAUUUACAAAGAAUGCUUUAGUUGUGAGGACAUUCUAAGCCUAAAACUGGCAGAGACAUUUCAAAAAUGAAAAUGUUAUGUCUAAGGAAAAACAGCCCUCUUCCUUUGCUGCCUGUGACCGCUGUUACCACACUUCUCAGGUUCUCCUAAGCGAGCAGCGUGGCUUCCUGGGCUUCUACCAGAAUUUACCAGCAGGGGUCAGCCCUGUACAAAACCCAGGCGCUUGAGCCUCCCGUGAAUUGGAACUUGCUCUCUGGUUCUGUCAAGCCAUUCUGGCCUUUUAGCUUUCUCACUUCACAUUCCCAGCUACACUUCCUUCUGCUCUGUUACCACCACCCACUCCCGUGAUCACAACAUGGACCAGAAACUUCACAGCCUUCCUCACUCAUUCAAACACGCUCUCCUCUCCUUCCGUGCUCUCAAGUAACCCCCGCAGCAACAGUCCUUUCAGCUUAGCAAGCUCUUCAGUCCAAGCCCUGCUGCUUUCUCUCCAUCCUGCAGUCCCCUCCUCUCUUCACUCUCCCCUUUUCAACCCAGACAUCACGGGUCAUCAAUGAAAUCACUUUUGCAAACACCUCCAACUCUUUGACCAUUCUAGGCCUCAGCUCCUAACCCCUUAGGAUUUUCUGGCCGGGCGCGGUGGCUCACGUCUGUAAUCCCAGCACUUUGGGAGGCCGAGGUGGGCGGAUCAUUUGAGGUCAGGGGUUCCAGACCAGCCUGGCCAACAUGGUGAACCCCGUCUCUGCUAAAAAUACAAAAAUUAGCUGGGUGCGGUGGUGGGCGCCUGCAAUCCCAGCUACUUGGGAGACAGGGGAAUCGCUUGAACCCAGGAGGCAGACGUUGCAGUGAGCCGAGAUUGCGCCACUGCAGCACUGCCGCUUGGGCAACAAGAGUAGAAAAAAAAAAAAGUUAAAAAAAAAAAAAGGAUUUUCUGUUGCACUUGGGAUAAAGUACAAAGCCCAAUACAGAGCCCCCAAGGCCCUGAGUGACCCAACCUUGGGCUGGUAUCUCUCCCACCAUGACUCAUGCACAGCACUCCCCUCUCCAUGUUUUCCACUCUUCCCUCUCCCAGUGGAGAAAAAGUCAUUUCCUCCAAGUCCACUCUCUCAUUCUCUUUCCUAACAAGGGGUUUAUUUCCUUCAAGACACAAUAUAAAACUUUAUCAUAUUUGUAUAAUUGCGUAUUUAAUGUUUGUCUUCCGCUUGGGGCUGUGCACUCAACAGAAGCAGUGCCAAGCACUUGCUAGGUUCAUAGAAGACACUUAAGUGUUUGUUGGCCAGGCGUGGGGGCUCACGCCUAUAAUCCCAGCACUUUGGGAGGCUGAGGCGGGCAGGUAGCUUGACCCCAGGAGUUUGAGACCAGCCUGAGCAACAUGGCGAAACACCGCCUCUACAAAUAAUUGAAAAAAUUAGCCGGGUGCGGCCAGGCGCGGCGGCUCACGCCUGUAAUUCCAGCACGUGGGAGGCCGAGGCGGGUGGAUCACAGGGUCAGGAGUUUGAGACCAGCCUGGCCAACAUGGUGAAACCCCAUCUCUACUAAAAAUACAAAAAUUAGCCGGGCGUGGUGGCACUCGUCUGUAGUCCCAGCUCCUCAGGAGGCUGAGAAGGGAGAAUCGCUUAAACCUAGGAGGUGGAGGUUGCAGUGAGCAGAGAUCAUGCCACUGCACUCCAGCCAGGGCGACAGAGCCUCCAGAGCGAGACUCCGUCUCAAAAAAAAAAAAAAUUAUCCGGGUGCUACUCGGGAAGCUACUGUAACCCCCAGCUACUCAGGAAGCUGAGGUGGGAAGAUCUCUGGAGCCUGGGCUGUUGAGGCUGCAGUGAGCUGAGAUUGCGCCACUGCAUUCCAGCCAGCCUGGGUGACAGACUGAGACCCUGUCUCAAAAAAAAAAAAAAAAAAAAAAAAAAAAAAGAAGAAAGAAAGAAAGAAAGAAGGAAAUGUUUGUUGAAUUAGAAUGUCAAUCUAGACCUUGACCCCACCAAGACAGAAGACAGGUGUAGUGCCCUCUGUUAUUUAGAAAAAUAAUCGUAGUAGCACUUUACAUUUGUAUAGUAUUUGUCUUUUCAAAGUACUUUAACAUCUAUUAUCAUAAUAAUAAAGAUAGGUAAAAAUAGGUUGCAUACAAUAGGUAAGUGCUAUUUUCCCAUUUGACAGGUUAAAAAAAAAAUGAGUCACGAAGAAAGUUGGCUAAAAUAUCAGAGUAAGGACUAAAGCCAAAAUCUCUAACCUACCCAUUUGUACAUCUUAAUUAGUAAGUAAAUAUUCUGUCUUAUGAUCAAACUUGCAGUUGAGAUAAUAGCUUAAUAGGUAAGUGUUCAGCCCUAGAGACAUAAUGUUCAGUUUCCAAACCCAGCUCCAGUACUUAACUUGCUGUGUGACCUGGCACAAGUUACCUAACUUCCCUGAGCUUCAGUUUCUCCAUGCUUAAAGUGUGAAUAAUAAUGCCUAUCUGAGGUGGUUGUAGUGAGGUUAUAAAGAGUAUAUUGCUAGGAGUGGUGGCUCAUGCCUGUAAUCCCAGCACUUUGGGAGCCCAAGGUGGGCGGAUCACCUGAGGUCCCGUGUUCAAGACCAACCUGACCAACAUGGAGAAACCUCGUUUCUACUAAAAAUACAAAAUUAGCCAGGUGCGGUGGCUC